AUUUGAUAUUGUUCCACGCAAACGCAGCCGUAAUGAUAGGAGGUACCGCAUUAAUAGCGACAGAAAGUAUAUUGAUAGUUUAUCAAAAGCAUGCAUGCGGAAUGUUUCAAAUCACCUGUUAUCGUAUUGAACGAGCAAUGGCAUUCGAAACUUUACAAAAAAACAACUGGAAGAAUAAGAAUUUGAUCUACAAGGGAUUAAUUUGUGCCGUGGAUAUGCAUCGCAAAGCUAUGAAAUACAAUGCCCAAUGGUACGCAGCUCCGUUGCAAAUACAAAAAAUGAUCCUGUUCCUCUUGCAAAGAGGUACCAAGGCGUUCACUAUGAAUAUCAAUGGACUAUUUGUGGGAUCAUUAGAAGGUGCUGCUACGUUACUGAGCACGGCAGUGUCGUAUUUCACCGUUCUGUAUUCUACACAAAAUUGAUGCAAAAUAAAUCAACUAAUAUAGUGCAGUGGAGUAAUAAUAAUGAGGAAACUAAUUUAGAAUACAUUAAGCACAAAUGAUAUAGUAUAUAUAAUCUAGAAAGCGGUCUCAAUUGAUAAUCUCGAUGGAAUUGUAAGAACUUCUUUUUAAUUCUAAGAAGUCAAACAUUUGCAUGAUCGCGAAGUAAAGAUCUGUAUCAAAGUUAAA